GGAGGCAGCAGUGGGGAAUAUUGCACAAUGGGCGAAAGCCUGAUGCAGCCAUGCCGCGUGUAUGAAGAAGGCCUUCGGGUUGUAAAGUACUUUCAGUUGUGAGGAAGGGGGUGUCGUUAAUAGCGGCAUCUCUUGACGUUAGCAACAGAAGAAGCACCGGCUAACUCCGUGCCAGCAGCCGCGGUAAUACGGAGGGUGCGAGCGUUAAUCGGAAUUACUGGGCGUAAAGCGCAUGCAGGUGGUUCAUUAAGUCAGAUGUGAAAGCCCGGGGCUCAACCUCGGAACUGCAUUUGAAACUGGUGAACUAGAGUACUGUAGAGGGGGGUAGAAUUUCAGGUGUAGCGGUGAAAUGCGUAGAGAUCUGAAGGAAUACCAGUGGCGAAGGCGGCCCCCUGGACAGAUACUGACACUCAGAUGCGAAAGCGUGGGGAGCAAACAGGAUUAGAUACCCUGGUAGUCCACGCCGUAAACGAUGUCUACUUGGAGGUUGUGGCCUUGAGCCGUGGCUUUCGGAGCUAACGCGUUAAGUAGACCGCCUGGGGAGUACGGUCGCAAGAUUAAAACUCAAAUGAAUUGACGGGGGCCCGCACAAGCGGUGGAGCAUGUGGUUUAAUUCGAUGCAACGCGAAGAACCUUACCUACUCUUGACAUCCAGAGAAGCCAGCGGA
rnacentral:rRNA from 1 species